rnacentral:rRNA from 1 species
GUAGGCAGCGAGCGUUGUUCGGAAUUAUUGGGCGUAAAGAGUGUGUAGGCGGUGCUCCAAGUCUGUCGUGAAAUCUCCCGGCUUAACUGGGAGGGUGCGGCGGAAACUGGAAUGCUAGAGGGUGGGAGAGGUAAGCGGAAUUCCUGGUGUAGCGGUGAAAUGCGUAGAUAUCAGGAGGAACACCUGUGGUGUAGACAGCUUACUGGACCACUUCUGACGCUGAGACACGAAAGCGUGGGUAGCAAACAGGAUUAGAUACCCUGGUAGUCCACGCCCUAAACGACGCAUACUUGGUGUGAGCGAUUCAUUUCGUUCGUGCCGGAGCUAACGCGUUAAGUAUGCCGCCUGGGGAGUACGGUCGCAAGG